GGGUAGGGGGCGUGAGAGCGCGACCCCCCAGAGGGGCACUGAUACACGGGCCUCACUCCUACGGGAGGCAGCAAUCUGGAAUAGUCGGCAAUGGGCGAAAGCCCGACCGCGCGACGCCGCGUGGAGGACGAAGCUCUUCGGAGUGUAAACUCACAUCAAAAAGGAGCGGCUAACUUCGUGCCAGCAGCAGCGGUAAUACGGAGGCUUCAAGCGUUGUCCGGAUUUAUUGGGCGUAAAGUGUCUUAAGGCGGUUUGUUAAGUUUCUGGUUAAAUCUCUCGGCCCAACCGAGAAACCGCCAAAAAUACUAACAAACUAGAGAUUAGCAGGGGUAAGCGGAACGCACGGUGUAGUAGUGAAAUGCGUUGAUAUCGUGCGGAACACCAAGGGGGAAGCCAGCUUACUGGGCUUAUACUGACGCUNNNNNNNNNNNNNNNNNNNNNNNNNNNNNNNNNNNGCGCCUGGGAACUACGGCCGCAAGGCUAAAACUCAAAGGAAUUGGCGGGGAGAUGCACAAGCGGUGGAGCAUGUGGUUUAAUUGGAUGAUGACCCAGGAACCUUACCCAGGUUUGACAUGCAGCUGCAAAUCCCGUGAAAGCGGGACUUCUUCGAGAGUGCUGCACAGGUGUUGCAUGGCUGUCGUCAGCUCGUGCCGUGAGGUGUACGGUUAAGUCCGUCAACGAGCGCAACCCCUACUCUGAUUUGUAUCACUAUCAGAGAACUGCCCCUGUAAGGGGGAGGAAGGUGGGGACGACGUCAAGUCGGCAUGGCCCUUAUGCCUGGGGCUACACACAUGCUACAAUGGCCAGUACAACGGGUUGCAACCUCGCGAGAGGUAGCUAAUCUCAUCAAAGCUGGUCUCAAUUCGGAUUGAAGGCUGCAACUCGCCUUCAUGAAGCUGGAAUCGCUAGUAAUCGCCGGUCAGCUAUACGGCGGUGAAUAUGUUCUCAUCUCUUGCACACACCGCCCGUCAAUUGGGGGAAGCUGGAAACACCUGAAGGCUGUGUUUUACACGGACCAAGGUGGAGUCAGUAACCAACAAUAAGUCGUAACAAGGUAGCCGUAGGGGAAUCUGCGGCUGGAUCACCUCCUUUCUAAGGAGUAA
rnacentral:rRNA from 1 species